AAUGGGGGGAACCCUGAUCCAGCCUUGCCGCGUGUGUGAAGAAGGCCUUUUGGUUGUAAAGCACUUUAAGCGAGGAGGAGGCUACUGGUAUUAAUACUACCGGAUAGUGGACGUUACUCGCAGAAUAAGCACCGGCUAACUCUGUGCCAGCAGCCGCGGUAAUACAGAGGGUGCGAGCGCUAAUCGGAUUUACUGGGCGUAAAGCGUGCGUAGGCGGCUUUUUAAGUCGGAUGUGAAAUCCCUGAGCUUAACUUAGGAAUUGCAUUCGAUACUGGGAGGCUAGAGUAUGGGAGAGGAUGGUAGAAUUCCAGGUGUAGCGGUGAAAUGCGUAGAGAUCUGGAGGAAUACCGAUGGCGAAGGCAGCCAUCUGGCCUAAUACUGACGCUGAGGUACGAAAGCAUGGGGAGCAAACAGGAUUAGAUACCCUGGUAGUCCAUGCCGUAAACGAUGUCUACUAGCCGUUGGAGCCUUUGAGGCUUUAGUGGCGCAGCUAACGCGAUAAGUAGACCGCCUGGGGAGU
rnacentral:rRNA from 1 species